AACGCUAGCUACAGGCUUAACACAUGCAAGUCGAGGGGCAGCAUUAUCGAAGCUUGCUUUGAUAGAUGGCGACCGGCGCACGGGUGAGCAACGCGUAUCCAACCUUCCCCAUAGUCAGGAAUAGCCCGGCGAAAGUCGAAUUAAUGCCUGAUGUUUUCCACGGACGGCAUCCGAUGUGGAACAAAGAUUGAUCGCUAUGGGAUGGGGAUGCGUCUGAUUAGCUUGUUGGCGGGGUAACGGCCCACCAAGGCAACGAUCAGUAGGGGUUCUGAGAGGAAGGUCCCCCACAUUGGAACUGAGACACGGUCCAAACUCCUACGGGAGGCAGCAGUGAGGAAUAUUGGUCAAUGGGCGGAAGCCUGAACCAGCCAAGUAGCGUGAGGGAUGACUGCCCUAUGGGUUGUAAACCUCUUUUAUAAGGGAAUAAAAUACGGGACGUGUCCUGUUUUGCAUGUACCUUAUGAAUAAGGACCGGCUAAUUCCGUGCCAGCAGCCGCGGUAAUACGGAAGGUCCGGGCGUUAUCCGGAUUUAUUGGGUUUAAAGGGAGCGCAGGCGGUCUUAUAAGCGUGACGUGAAAUGCAGCGGCUCAACCGUAUGAUGUGCGUCGCGAACUGUGAGACUUGAGUGUAUUCGAUGUCAGCGGAAUUUGUGGUGUAGCGGUGAAAUGCUUAGAUAUCACGAAGAACUCCGAUUG
rnacentral:rRNA from 1 species